rnacentral:rRNA from 1 species
UACGGGGGGGGGCAAGCGUUGUUCGGAAUUACUGGGCGUAAAGGGCUCGUAGGUGCCAGCCUAACUAGGUGACGUGAAAUCCCUCGGCUUAACCGGGGAACUGCGUCCGAUACUGGUUGGCUUGAGUUUGAGAGAGGGAUGCGGAAUUCCAGGUGUAGCGGUGAAAUGCGUAGAUAUCUGGAGGAACACCGGUGGCGAAGGCGGCAUCCUGGACCAAUACUGACGCUGAGGAGCGAAAGCCAGGGGAGCAAACGGG